AGCUAAACAGGUGCAGUGACAGUUGGAAGAAAGAAGCAGAGAGAGAAACACGAUUUUGAAGUGUGCUUUGCUUCAUGAGCUGCUGGAAGGAAUUGAUCCACAUGGACAAAAGAAAGGACAUUAUGGGGAAAGGAGAGAAAGAAAGAAGAAAAGAAAAAGAAAAGAAAAAGAGGAGCAAAAAUAUUCUAGUAAGUAGACUAACAUACCUACUGAAGAAACACCAAGGAAAACGGAUGAAGGAGACUGAUUGGACAAUAUUAGAGGAUUAUAUGAAACAGGAGAAGAAAUAAGAAGAAAUCUGCCAGUAAAGAGAGAGACAAAUAGAAGAAGCAAGACCUGAAGAAAGGCAACCAGAAACACAACCAACACACACACACCCAACCAGAUAUACUUCUCAUUUUACCUUUGUCACAUCCCCUCCCCUUUUACUACCACCUGCACCCCCCUUUUUACACACUUCUUUUUUUGCUCUUUCUUUUUCUUUUUCUUCCCUCUCCCACUACCCCCUCACUCCCCCCCCCCACACACACACACAUGUCGAUUUAAAAUAGCAAAAGGAAAUAAAAAUUGUUAUUAAAAAUGUUCUAGUCAAGCGGACAACAUCCAUGUAUUAAAUGAUUUCAAAUUCUGAUUUGUAUUCUUCAAAAUCAAAUAUUUUAUUCAUUUCAUAUCAUACAUAAAGUUGCCUAUAUUUAUACCAGUAGUUAAGCUGCCUCCCUUCUUCCAACAGUUUUUGUUGUGGUUUAACUUUAUGAUACCUUUUUACAAACACUAUUAAGUCUAUACAUUUCAUCCCUGUGUUUUCAGUAGUUUCCUUGUCAGUUUUAUGAAAUGCCUCUUGAAAUGAUAUCCAUAAUGGUAUUUUACUGUUUGAUCUUAUUUUACAUUUAUUCCAGAUUCUUAUAAAGUAUUUUAAAGUUCUUUGUUUACUUUCACAUCAGGAUGGACUUCCUGAUGGUAUGAGCUCUUUCCUAUUGGAGCAUGUUGCAUAGGAAGGUUGGUGUACUCUUCUUUGAGAGUUUCCUGUAGCCAUAUAGGAAUCUGGAGUAAUGGAUUUGUUGCAUUAAGAACAGAUUGGAUUACAUUAUCUUUGAAGUUCCUCCUAGCUCGGAUUAUUAUAUCCUUUGGCCUACCAUAAUUUCUUUGUAUGUUUUUUUUCAAGUAAUUUCAAACAAUAUUUGAAAUUUCCCAAUGACUUUGUCAAGCUGAACUGAGUUUUGUAUAGAAGUCAAGCAAAUGAACACCCAUUCAUUAGAAACAAAACCCUGGAGAAAGAGGAUUCAUUGUUCAUGUUCGAUUAUGUGCCUCAAUCUUUUUUCCCUUUGUAGGAUAAAGUAGCCAAAAGAGGUUACCUAGAGGUUAAUGAGUCUCCUAUUCGGAUGAACUAAAUGUUACAUAACUCAUACAAUAAAAGCACAUGUUUUAUGCUCCAGUUGCCACUUCCUUGGUAAUCAAUUCGUUAAUUAGAUGACCAAAAGUCAGGUCAUCACACUAGAAAGCUGAAUUUCAAUAAUCUCUUCAACAACUAUUUUUUCGACCUCAAAAUUUGUCAAGACCUUAUUCCCUGCAUUUAUAACCAAUAUCAUUUUUUCACUGGUAAAUGACCUUUUUCAAAAGCCAGUUUUAAUAUGCAUACCAUUAAUUCUGAUGUAAUUAUAGGUUGACGAUAUAACAUGAAAGAACACUUUGAUUACCCUGAUGAUUUGGUAUAAGAGACUCUGUGAACUUUACUUGGGACCUGUGAUAAUCAGUUGAUAUUUUAACAGGCAAUCAUCUUUUCUAUGACUCAUAUAUAACUCAUUUAACUUAAAAUGAGCUGAAACUAAGGUGUGUUUUACCAGUGGUACACAAGGAAUAGUUGAAAAUGGCAGAAACAGAAAAGAAGGGUUGUAUGGCACCUCACAGACAGUGUGAACAGGUAAAAUAUUACUACUGUACAGAAUUAUUAAAGCUGAACCCCUUAACUACCUGUUCGGGAGACUACUUUCAUAGUCUUGUGGGCAUGACCUGUGAUGGAUAUUUCCAAGUAGGACCAAAAAACUGAAUUUCUUCCCUAAAGAAAUGUAGUUAGACCCCAUGCUGAUUAAUUUUAAUCAAUGUAAAAAUAAAUCAGUUAUUCUUUCAUUGAUUUAACUUAAUUGUUGCAAGUUGGCCAUGAUCUCCUUCUCCAAAUCCAGUCCCUGAAAACCACCUUAAGAGCCGGUAAGCAAUUUGGAGCAAUAGUGUUCUACAGCAUUAGUGAGUGGGGUACUACAGGCUGAUGUCAUCAGGGUCACCCCACAAGUGAUCAAUAGUCUGACAAAUAGCUAUGACAGGAACCCAAGGGAUCUUUGCUUCUGCUUUUUGUACCAUUACUCACUGCUAAGGAGAGAUUGGUCACCUUCCCAUGCAGUGCCCCACUCAAUAGUGUCACAAACCUCCAUCCCUCGGGACACCUAACGGGCCCUUUAGGUGUGUUAUGGGGCAUUUAUGAUAUCACAACUGUAAAUAGGAAAUAGUCAUACAGUCAUAAGUCAAAUUUACAUCAUGCCUCACUAAUAUAAUGUCAGUUGACUGUUUAUUGAUUUGCUUUUUAAUGUUUGUGUUGUCCAUUGCUUGAACUGCAUUUCAUUUUUACUUAUAACACAAGACAACAAAAUAA